rnacentral:rRNA from 1 species
UACGAAGGGGGCUAGCGUUGUUCGGAAUUACUGGGCGUAAAGGGCGCGUAGGCGGUUUAGUAAGUCAGAUGUGAAAGCCCCGGGCUUAACCUGGGAACUGCAUUUGAUACUGCUAGACUAGAGGAUGAGAGAGGAAAGUGGAAUUGCGAGUGUAGAGGUGAAAUUCGUAGAUAUUCGCAAGAACACCAGUGGCGAAGGCGACUUUCUGGCUCAUUACUGACGCUAAAGCGCGAAAGCGUGGGGAGCAAACAGG